rnacentral:rRNA from 1 species
UAGAACGAACGCUGGCGGCGCGUCUUAAGCAUGCAAGUCGGACGGCAAGGGUUGUGCUGCACAACUCCUAGAGUGGCGGACUGGUGAGUAACGCGUGGGUGACCUGCCCUCGAGAUGGGGAUAGCCAGUUAGAAAUAGUGGAAUAAUACCGAAUACGCUCAUGACCCUGUGGGGAUAUGAGGAAAACAGGCUACGGCCUGGCUCGAGGAUGGGCCCGCGUCCCAUUAGCUAGUUGGUGAGGUAACGGCCCACCAAGGCGACGAUGGGUAUCCGGCCUGACGAGGGUGUACGGACACAUUGGGACUGAGACACGGCCCAGACUCCUACGGGAGGCAGCAGUGGGGAAUAUUGCACAAUGGGGGAAACCCUGAUGCAAGCAACGCCGCGUGAGUGAUGACGGCCUUCGGGUUGUAAAGCUCUGUCUUCAGGGACGUAUAAUGACGGUACCUGAGGAGGAAGCCACGGCUAACUACGUGCCAGCCGCAGC